rnacentral:rRNA from 1 species
AAUCAACGCUGGCGGCGUGCCUCAGACAUGCAAGUCGAACGCGAAAUUUCCCUUCGGGGGAGAAAGUAGAGUGGCGCACGGGUGAGUAACACGUAGGGUAAUUUGCCUUUGGGUGGGGAAUAACUCAGGGAAACUUGAGCUAAUACCGCAUAAUGCAGCGGCUCGACAUCGAGACAGUUGUUAAAGCGGGGGAUCGCAAGACCUCGCGCCUGAAGAGAAGCCUGCGGCAGAUUAGCUAGUUGGUAAGGUAAUGGCUCACCAAGGCUAAGACGGGUAGCUGGUCUGAGAGGACGACCAGCCUCACUGGAACUGAGACACGGUCCAGACACCUACGGGUGGCAGCAGUCGAGAAUUUUUCUCAAUGGACGAAAGUCUGAAGGAGCGACGCCACGUGGGGGAUGAAGGACUUCGGUCCGUAAACCCCUGUCAUUUGCGAACAAACCUUACGACUUAAUAGAUCGUGAGCUGAUUGUAGCGAAAGAGGAAGGGAC